rnacentral:rRNA from 1 species
UGGGGAAUAUUGGACAAUGGGCGCAAGCCUGAUCCAGCCAUGCCGCGUGAGUGAUGAAGGUCUUCGGAUUGUAAAACUCUUUCGCCGGGGAAGAUAAUGACGGUACCCGGAGAAGAAGCUCCGGCUAACUUCGUGCCAGCAGCCGCGGUAAUACGAAGGGAGCUAGCGUUGUUCGGAAUUACUGGGCGUAAAGCGCACGUAGGCGGAUUUUUAAGUCAGGGGUGAAAUCCCAAGGCUCAACCUUGGAACUGCCUUUGAUACUGGAAGUCUUGAGAUCGGGAGAGGUGAGUGGAAUUCCUAGUGUAGAGGUGAAAUUCGUAGAUAUUAGGAAGAACACCAGUGGCGAAGGCGGCUCACUGGCCCGAUACUGACGCUGAGGUGCGAAAGCGUGGGGAGCAAACAGGAUUAGAUACCCCGGUAGUCCCUGAGCGGGCUGGCAAGGCGCAU